rnacentral:tRNA from 1 species
AACAGGGUGCCUGAAAAGGGAUUAAACUGUAAAUUUAAUUAUGAGAAUUAAACUCUCCUGUUA